UACGUAGGGGGCAAGCGUUGUCCGGAUUUAUUGGGCGUAAAGAGCGUGUAGGCGGCCAGGUAGGUCGGUUGUGAAAACUCGAGGCUCAACCUCGAGACGUCGGUUGAAACCACCUGGCUAGAGUCCGGAAGAGGAGAGUGGAAUUCCCGGUGUAGCGGUGAAAUGCGCAGAUAUCGGGAAGAACACCCGUGGCGAAGGCGGCUCUCUGGGACGGUACUGACGCUGAGACGCGAAAGCGUGGGGAGCGAACAGG
rnacentral:rRNA from 1 species